UACGGAGGGGGCUAGCGUUGUUCGGAAUUACUGGGCGUAAAGCGCACGUAGGCGGCUUUGCAAGUCAGAGGUGAAAGCCCGGGGCUCAACCCCGGAAUUGCCUUUGAGACUGCAUCGCUAGAAUUGUGGAGAGGUAAGUGGAAUUCCGAGUGUAGAGGUGAAAUUCGUAGAUAUUCGGAAGAACACCAGUGGCGAAGGCGGCGAUCUGGGCCGAUACUGACGCUGAGGUGCGAAAGCGUGGGGAGCAAACAGG
rnacentral:rRNA from 1 species